rnacentral:rRNA from 1 species
GACGUAGGAUGCAAGCGUUGUCCGGAUUUAUUGGGCGUAAAGAGUUCGUAGGUGGUUUGUUAAGUCUGAUGUUAAAGACUGGGGCUCAACCUCGGGAGUGCAUUGGAUACUGGCAGACUGGAGUGUAGUAGAGGCAAGCGGAAUUCCCAGUGUAGCGGUGAAAUGCGUAGAUAUUGGGAAGAACACCGGUGGCGUAAGCGGCUUGCUGGGCUAUAACUGACGCUGAGGAGCGAAAGCGUGGGGAGCGAACAGG